CAUCGGACGUGGUGCGUCUCUCAGCUUGACGGUGAAGCUUAGACCGGACACGUCAAUAAAACCCUAAUGGAUUUCCGCUUGGAAUCCGGAUUAUAAAUAAGGCGGAGAAGAAGUGUGAGGGUGCUCUGAGGAGGGAAAAAUUAAGUUCUCUUUCGUUCGCUUUCUCGCUCUCUUGAGCGAGAGGGGUGAGAAGAUCUACUGCCAAUUAUCUUCUAUUCGACUGCUCUGAAAUCUUCUCAAUCAGGAUGUCUGGACCAGAGCCAGCAUCUGAAGUGGAAGCAGCUAAGAUGGCCAAUGGUUCUGGCCCCCUGCCUGAGGAUAUGGGUAUGCAGGCUGUUGCUGAAAAGAACAGUGAGGAAAAGAAUAAUGGAGAUGAAAACAAGGAUGGAGACCAGAAUAAGGAUGGUGAGGCUAGGAAAGAUUUGGAAGGAAAGAAGGAAAGCGAAGAAAAUGGCAUGAAAAAAGUAGAAGAUGAAGAAGAAGGAAAAGACGAAAAGAAAACUGAGGAUGUGAAUACGGGAGAAGCUGAAGAUGUGAAAAUGGUAGAUGCUGAGGAUCGGAAAACAGUAGAAACCGAGGAUGUGAAAAUGGUGAAUGUGGAGGAUGCAAGAGACGGGGUAGACGGGGUGAAAGAAGUUGGAGAAGAAGAGGGAGGAGCGGAUUUAAAGGUGAAGGAAGCAGAUGAUGUGAAAGAAGAUAAUGAGAAUAUGGAGAAGAAGGUUGAUUACAAUAAGGUGGAAGGUUUAAAGAGUAAAAGGGAAAGCAUUCAGAAGAUCAGCACUAAAAGGGAAGCGAAGGAGAAGAAAGAAAGAGGUACAAAGUUAAAGGAAUUGUCUAGGACUCCUACACCAUCUUCUAUUGAUCGCCCUGUGCGUGAGAGAAAAACUGUGGAAAGGCUAGUUGAAGUUAUUGAGAAAGAGCCAAAUAAGGAAUUCCUAGUUGAAAAGGGUCGUGGCACUCCACUAAAAGAUAUACCAAAUGUGGCUCACAAAUUGGCAAGAAAGAAGCCUGCAGAUCUUAAAUUGCUUCAUCAGACUCUUUUUGGAAGGAAAGGAAAGGCUGUAAAUUUUAGAAGUCAUAUUCUCCAAUUUUCUGGAUUUGUCUGGCACGAGAGCGAUGAAAAACAGAGAGCUAAAAUGAAGGAGAAACUUGACAAAUAUGUAAAGGAUACAUUAUUGGAUCUAUGUGAUUUAUUUGAUAUACCUGUUUCAAGAACAACCAUGAGAAAGGAAGACCUUGUAGCAAAGUUAUUGGAUUUUAUGGUUGCACCUCAUGCUACUACUGAUGUGAUACUUGCUGACAAGCAGCAGCAGUCUAUGAAAUCUCGAAAGCGUAAGAGGGUGACUAAAGGAAGUGCUUCUAAAGGUGUGGCAGAAGCACCCCCUAAGCAGUCUAGGAAGAAACAGACCAAAAGAGAAGAUAGCCCAAAUAGCAAAGGGAAGAUUGUACAAGAAAAUGAAGAAGAAGUUGAAAAGGAGAAUGAGAAUGGUAUUUCUGAUGAGGAUGAAGCACUCAAACAGUCUGAAUUUGAGGUGAAAGAAAGUGAAUCUGAAGAAGCUGCUGAUGAAGAUGAAGAUGAUAAUGAAGACUCAGGAAAAAGCAAAGAGGAUAAGAAGAGAUCUUCAAAACAACGAGGUUCUGUUGGUAAAGAAAAGUCAAAGGUGGAGAAGAGCUCUAGAAAAUCCUCUUUCCCAACAACCACCAAGAGCCCUACUAAAGUAUCGUCUUCCAAACGUGCCUUGGAACGUCCCAAGGCAGAAAACGAUAAGGAUGUAGGUGCAAAGGUUUUUUCCAGGAAAAAGAGAAAUGUUGAUGCAGCUAGGAAAAAAUCAACUCUUAAAUCAGAUAAGAAGGAGAAAGCUACUGGUAAAAGGUUGCCUAGAGGAAAGGGAAAAUCAAUGGAGGCAGAGUAUCCAAGUGAGGAGGAGCUGAGGAAAACUAUAUGUGAAAUUCUGAAGGAAGUGGAUUUUAACACUGCCACUUUCACUGACAUUCUUAAACAGCUUGCAACCCAUUACAAAAAGGACCUAACUCCUAGAAAACCAGCUAUAAAGGAAUUGAUCCAAGAAGAGUUAACCAAGCUAGCAGAUGAAGCAGAAGAAGAUGAGGAUGAUGAAGAUGAAGAUGCCGAGAAGGAAGAAAAUCCAGAACCUAGUGGCAAAGAGGUGAAAACUUGAUUGUGACGCAUGGCACUGACAUUUACUCCGUAAUGUUCUUCUGUCGAAGUUAGCCUGCCUGCUGUGGCGAUUUGGCAUCAUUUUAUUGCAUUAUUUAUAAUGCCAAUUGCCGAGACCUUUUCCUCUCCCUAGUCAUGCUCUGUAUUUAUAACAUGGUUUUGUGGGCAUCAUCUUAACCUUAAGUUCACUGACCUGGAGAUAUUGUUAGCACUUCUAUAACUUUUGAAGUUUGAUGCCUGGAAAUACCUUUUUUAUGACUUAUUGCAAGCCCUAGUGAUUGGAGACUCGUCGCCGUGCUUCUGCUUCUGUUGUGAGAUCGCUCUGCUUGUUAAACGGUUACAUCUUGCAGUUGUAAAUUGUAGAAUGCUGGUAUCUGAUGUCUUCAGUCAAGAUUUCAAGUUAAACUAUCUUCGUUUCUUGCAAGGGUGGCUUUCAUAUUUGAGCUCGUGUAACUUGAUUGUUGCGAGGGACGAAGCCAGCGCCUUUAGACAAUGUAUUUCCUGAAUGUGUGCAAUAUUUUGUUGUUUGCCGGUGGUGUCUUUCCUGUGGCGGUAGAAAAGGAAAUGUUUUUUAUUUGCAUUUGUGUCUUUUGGGAAGAGCUGACUGUUUAUUCAUUUUUUUCAGAAUUUGGACUUCUAGAAAUGAGAUAUUUGAAGAAUCCUUUUGGGGACAGAAAAAUCUCAUCCAUCAGUUUAUUGUAUAUAUCUAUUUUAGUAAGGAAUUCUGUGUGAAGAAAAAAUGAAAAAUUAUUGCCGU